ensembl:lncRNA
AUAGGAAACAGAUGAUGAACGAGGUGCUAAAGCUGCGAUCCCUGGAGACUAGCCCCCAGGAAACCACUGUGGGUGUGUGCAGUACCAGAGGGUCAGGAGUAAGUAAGUGUUCCGCGUAGAAACAUCCCAGCCAUGCAUCAAGGGAGACAGAAUCUUCCAGAACUCAAACCUCAAGAGCACUGAGGACCUCAGCGGUAACAACAAACCUCCUCCUUCUCAUCACGGACGAACUGAGCCCUUGCAUUCGUCUCCCUGGAUCGCUUACAACAAUCACAGAGACAGGCUAUCGACUCCAUGCUACAGAUAGGGCCUGCAGUCAGACCCUUCUCACACGAGCUCCCAGUGUCAGAGCUUCAAGUGGAAGGGAUGGCAAGGCCAUUUUCAUCUGAGGCUGUACCUCUCUGAAGGACCUACGGAGGAGGAACCGCAUCAACUCUGGAGUGCAGACUCUUGGGGGGGGAAGAAGGAUAGUCCAGGAAGUCCCAGUCAAUGAUAACAAAACAUUGAGCAAUACUUUUAAAGACUGCUUCAACUGUAAGAACACAAACCAAACAUCUGAAAUAAUGAGUCACCUACUGGCUUGAAUCCGAAGCACCAGGUCAAAUGCAGUUGAAGCCACGUCAGUGCCUGAAGCAACUCGAGUGCAGCGAGUGGACGGAUUUCUGCCGUCUGGAAUCUGCACACUCUUUCUAUCGUGAUGGAUGAUGUCUCAGUAACGAGAGGCAUGCCGAGCAGUCCUGGCCGUUCAGGAUGGCAUCAGGACAAUCUAUGGCAUUCCUUCUCUCUGAAAUUGCCUCUCUUUCCUUAGAGGAGAUUCCAGACCACGAAAAACCGGAAAAGAAACUCAAAAUCAAAUAACAUUAUUUUUCCCUUAAAAGCAUCUCUGGGCCAGGGUAGCCUGAAGGAAAGAUAGGUUUAAAUUACCAGUCAUGGUAUUAAUUAAUAGCACUCUGGAUCUGUGAAUUUAAGCUAAAUUUAUUCUUAAUUAUAUUAGAUAAUAA